GAUGAAGAACGUAGCGAAAUGCGAUAAGUAAUGUGAAUUGCAUAAUUCAGUGAAUCAUCGAAUCUUUGAACGCACAUUGCGCCCGCCAGUAUUCUGGCGGGCAUGCCUGUUCGAGCGUCAUUUCAACCAUCAAGCCCCAGGCUUGUGUUGGAGCCCUGCGGCUGCCGCAGCCUCCCAAAACCAGUGGCGGGCUCGCUAUCACACCGAGUGCAGUAGUUUACUCUUCGCUCAGGGCGUGUGGCGGGUGCUAGCCGUAAAACCCCCAACUUCUCAAGGUUGACCUCGGAUCAGGUAGGAAUACCCGCUGAACUUAAGCAUAUCAAUAAGCGGAGGA
rnacentral:misc_RNA from 1 species